rnacentral:rRNA from 1 species
CCUACGGGAGGCUGCAGUGAGGAAUAUUGGUCAAUGGACGAGAGUCUGAACCAGCCAAGUAGCGUGAAGGAUGACUGCUCUAUGGGUUGUAAACUUCUUUUAUAUGGGAAUAAAAUGUUUCACGUGUGGGAUUUUGUAUGUACCAUAUGAAUAAGGAUCGGCUAAAUCCGGGCCAGCAGCCGCGGUAAUACGGAGGAUCCGAGCGUUAUCCGGAUUUAUUGGGGUUAAAGGGAGCGUAGGUGGAUUGUUAAGUCAGCUGUGAAAGUUUGCGGCUCAACCAUAGAAUUGCAGUUGAAACUGGUAGUCUUGAGUACGGUAGAGGUAGGCGGAAUUCGUGGUGUAGCGGUGAAAUGCUUAGAUAUCACGAAGAACUCCGAUUGCGAAGGCAGCUCGCUAGACCGCAACUGACGCUGAGGCUCGAAAGUGUGGGUAUCAAACAGGAUUAGAUACCCCAGUAGUC